rnacentral:lncRNA from 1 species
AAUUUCCCUUUCUUUGAUCCCUAUUUUUUUCUUUUUCUUAUUACAUCCACACAACCAUGAGCAUUUUCUUUGAUUUUUUUUUUUUACUUUUUUCUUUGCUGUAUGGCUUCAAGGGUGUUUUCUUUUUCUUGUUUCUUAUCAAAUUUUCACCCUUUCAUAAAAACUCACUUUUCCAAGUUUCUAAUCACUUCUUUCUACUUUUACUCUCCCCAACUUAGAUUC